rnacentral:rRNA from 1 species
UACGGGGGGAGCAAGCGUUGUUCGGAUUUACUGGGCGUAAAGGGCGCGUAGGCGGUCAGCACAAAUCAGUUGUGAAAUCUCCGGGCUUAACUCGGAAAGGUCAACUGAUACUGUGCGACUAGAGUGCGGAAGGGGCAACUGGAAUUCUUGGUGUAGCGGUGAAAUGCGUAGAUAUCAAGAGGAACACCUGCGGCGAAGGCGGGUUGCUGGGCCGACACUGACGCUGAGGCGCGAAAGCCAGGGGAGCGAACGGG